rnacentral:rRNA from 1 species
AUACGAGCGGCCGAUGUCGGAUUAGCUAGUUGGUGGGGUAAAGGCCUACCAAGGCGACGAUCCGUAGCGGGUCUGAGAGGAUGAUCCGCCACACUGGGACUGAGACACGGCCCAGACUCCUACGGGAGGCAGCAGUGGGGAAUUUUGGACAAUGGGGGCAACCCUGAUCCAGCCAUGCCGCGUGAGUGAAGAAGGCCUUCGGGUUGUAAAGCUCUUUCAGGUGGAAAGAAAUCGCAUCUUUUAAUACAGGGUGUGGAUGACGGUACCAUCAGAAGAAGCACCGGCUAACUACGUGCCAGCAGCCGCGGUAAUACGUAGGGUGCGAGCGUUAAUCGGAAUUACUGGGCGUAAAGCGUGCGCAGGCGGUUAUGUAAGACAGAUGU